AGUCAUUUGAUAUCUGAAAAUGUAUUAUUAAUGUGUGUUUUAGCUGUUAAGUUCAUAUAUACAUCAGUCUGUAAAAGUAUAAGUAAAGCAACUGAAUGUGAAAAUGGCCAACAUGACAGUGAAAGCGUGGAUGAUGGAGCAAAGUCAAUACAAUUUAGGUGCUGAC